GGACCAGAGAAUAAUUGGUACAGGUAUCAAGAGAGAAUGAUAGAUUCUGUGUAAAGUUAUAACCUCAGCUAUAAGGGUCACUCACUUGAGGAUACCUGCAAGCUUGUCUUCAGUUAAGGCUCCAUCACUGAUUCCAACUACUCUUUUCUAAUGUUUUCUCAAGGGAUGUUUUGUUUUAACAAGUUGAUAGUGUUUGGUAAAGGUGCAAUAAUUUAACAAGGUUGUCUUAAUGUACCACAUUUUGAGAUUCCCCCAAACGUGGCUACUUAAACAAGACAUGAACAAUGACAACAGGAGUUGACGUGUGAAUGGGAAAAUCUCAUGCGACCCCGCUACUAGAUGAAGAGCCACAGUUAAUUAACAACUACUGAGAUAGAGAGAAUUAGUCUUGCCCAGGUAUGAGCCCCCUAAAUAUUUUCCCUGUACCAAAUGGUCUUCCAUGUGUGUAUGUGUGUGUGUGCAUACAUACGUACGUAUGUACAUACAUACAUACAUGCAUACAUACAUACAUACAUACAUACAAGCAACACUAAGUAGCAUAUUAAGUGAGGUUUCAUUCAUAUAUUUAUUCACAGAUACAUGUUAACAAUAAUUAAAGAAAAUGAGGUCAUGAGUUGGAGAGGGAGAGGGACAGAAAGGGUCAGUGGGAAGAGACGAGGUGAUUAUGUCAUUAUAUUCAAAUUCAAUUUUAACAAAGAAAGAUGAUCUUAAAACAUCAUGAGUUAGCCAUUAGAAAAGAAUUAAAGGAAAUAUUUAAACACGUAAGUAUUGACUAAAGAGUAUGUAGUAUGGUUACAAUGUCAUGCCCUGAUAACCAUGAGACCUUAACUGUGCCAUUUGAGGACUGGGGAAUACAUUUUUCUACUCUACAAAAUGAAGGGGUGCUUAUGUAUUGGUUUCAUCAGCCUUCUUGACUUUUGCAAUGUGAAAGAAAGAAACAAAGAAACCUCACAAAAAUGAGAAAAAAAUCGUUUAAACCUGAUUUCAUUAUGAAACUUUAACCUAAAAGCAUUUGGGUUUGCCACCCAGAAGUUUUUAAUUCCCUAGACUACUUUGUACCUCUCCAGCAGUCCCAGGCUACUAAUAUUCAUGGAUACCCUUGAUAUAAAUUCCAGUUUGCCAAUCUCCUCUGUGGCCAUCUCCACCAUGCAGAAUGCACAGUUCCGGUGAAGAGGUAAUGGGUCCAUUCUGCAGCUACAAAAUCCAAGAUGACAUACUGGCCCCGGGACUUGGACCAUCACCAAUGCCUGCUCCUCCAUCACUCUCAUAGACCAGUCAUCCCCGAAGACACUUUCACUGUAGCUGCAGACAACACUAGGAAU
rnacentral:lncRNA from 1 species